rnacentral:pre_miRNA from 1 species
AUCAAAAGUACAUCAGGGUAGGUGGGAUACUAUAACAACAUUGAGCACAUUGUUAUACUAUUCCACCCACCUUAAUGGGGAU